UACGGAGGGUGCGAGCGUUAAUCGGAAUUACUGGGCGUAAAGCGCACGCAGGCGGUUUGUUAAGCUAGAUGUGAAAGCCCCGGGCUCAACCUGGGAUGGUCAUUUAGAACUGGCAGACUAGAGUCUUGGAGAGGGGAGUGGAAUUCCAGGUGUAGCGGUGAAAUGCGUAGAUAUCUGAGGAACAUCAGUGGCGAAGGCGACUCCCUGGCCAAAGACUGACGCUCAUGUGCGAAAGUGUGGGUAGCGAACAGG
rnacentral:rRNA from 1 species